GAGCUUAUCAGGAUUUGUGAGAGAUGAACGUUUUUUUUCUGACAUAUGUUUUGUAUAAAAUUUAGAGCUUUCGUGAGAUGGGGAUGUAGCUCAGUGGUAGAGCACUUGCCUAGUGGUACACUUUACCUAGCACCAGAAAAAAUAUAUUAAAAAGCUGGGUGAUUAUGUAGGUUGCACGCAUAUAUCAUAGAUGGGGCAUGAGCCCUCCAAAACUUGAUUUUACCUUGAGGCCACUAAGUACAAUAAGAACAUGGACGGGGAUCCUAAUUACCAGUCCAGUCCCCAAUAUCCAGAAGCCAGGCUUUACUGGACUUCUCAACAGGGAAAGACUUUACCUGUGGCCUAUGAGUCUCACUUUUGACGAUGAUCAUUCUUUCGGCUGGGGUGCUCUCUCGUUCUUUGCCCUGGUUCAAGGUGCUAAACUGGACUUAUUGCUGUAGGAAUCUAUAAACAUGUUGUAAACAAAAAACUAAAGCUGAACCCAGUAUUGAGAUGACAGUAGGGCUGGAGAAGCUGCAGCGGUGACUGGGGGGCAGGUACUUUGUUUUUUUCAGUGUGGAGUUCCUUUACCUGGUAAUAUAACCCCUCUGAGCCCCCCCCCCCCCAGCAAAUAGUGAGAGCUGGGUUCCCCCUGUAUGCUGGGCCUCGGUUCCUAGCUGCACUCCCACACAUCCUAGCCCUUGCUGGAAGGGGUCAUUUGUCUUUCAGGGGGAGCUGUCAGUGAGGACUACAAAUCCCUUUAGGUGAAGCAAGGAAGGUUUCCCCUGUUGUGCCAGGGGAUCUUUUGUCUUCUUUAGUGGAGUGCCAUGCAGGCUUCUUUUCCUCCACAGGUUUGGUUCUUGUGGCUUUAAGUACUGAGUAAGUCACACUGACCUAAGUGUGACUCAGCUUAGUAAAUGUCACUGGCCCCCGAAGGUGGAGUUUGAAUCCUUGGCUUGAUGACUGCAGGAAAUAGUUUAAUAACCCAGAAAUCUGUACCCAAAAGUGUCCCUCCUGAAUGUGGGGAGGGGUAUGCUUCUUAGUAGGGAGCCCCCAUUUUCAGAAAGGCUCUGGCCAGAUCUGGUCCCAGUCCUAGUGCCUUCCAACAGGGUCUCCAAGGGCAAAGCUGCAGAACUGGGUCCAGUUCGCAGCUAAAGCCCCAGCUGCAGAAGAAAAACAGGGUUCAGCUCCCCAGAUUAGUUACUGUCUGCAAGGAUUAAAGGCCCCAAAUAAUGGCUGGCUUCUCCCCUCCUCUGUGCCAAGGGAAGGCAUGUAAAUACAGCCGCACGCCAGCUUAGGCAGUAGAUGUGUAUAAAUCGAAUUUAGCAAAUCAGAUCAUGGUUUAAAUGCACUAUUUAAAGCAGUCCUGCAGGGAAGCCUUUUACAAAGGGAAUAAUCAUUUUGUGAUGCUAAUCAUCAGCCUCCAAUUUAUCUCCUUUGUAAGUUCAGAUGUUGGUGCACUGGGUGUUCUGAAAUUGGGGCGCUCUGGUGUAGGGCUUCAGUGAUGGCUGUCUGCCUUCCUUUCCUGACCUCUCAUUUUAAAUGGGUGCAUGUCCUGUUUCUCACUGGGGGCCUCAGGAUGUGUGUCACUUAGCCUGAUAGUUCUCAUCCAUCCCACUCAUCUUUUCAUAAUCUCAUAGAGGCCACCAUUCAGCUGCUCCUGGCUCCUUUUCUAAGAUUUUUCCUCUUCCUGGGGGAGAUGCAAGCCCUGCUGUUCCCAGGCAUUGGAACUAACUCCCUCUCUGAUCUGAACCUUCCUUUGUUUCCCCUGAGCUUCUGGUACUUCUGUUGUUGAUCAUAAAGACGAUUUCAGAGAUGACUACAUGACACUUAAUCAACCUCUGAAUUUAGAAGGCAAAUUAAAUGCAGGCACCCCUUUAUUGAAUAGGUAGUGUCCAUUC
rnacentral:lncRNA from 1 species